UGUUGCAAAAGGCCAUUUGCGAGAAGUUCGUUCUGUUCUUACACGAAAAAGAUUCGCUUUAAGUAGAGACCAUGUAGGAGCCAGUCCUUUGCACUUGGCAGUACUACAUGGACAUACAGACGUUUCUACAUAUAUUAUUUCCCAUUUUCCAGAGACAAUGGACGGUCCCGAUAACGAAGGAAGAACACCACUCCAUUACGCGACUGCUCUUCCAGACAAUGGAGCACUUUAUAAGUUAUUAAAAUCUGCAGGCGCUGAUGAAAAUAUAGAAGACAAGGCUGGACAUAGUCCCAAGUAUUAUAUGACUCAUCCAGCGACUCUAACUUUAGCCCAACUUAUGGAACCCUAUGUUACGCAUGAAUAGGGAUUAUCCAAAGUAAAUCUCCUGGAAUAAAAUUUACUGUCUUCUAAACAAUUCUGUCCUUGAGAUAAUUAAGGAUAGUUUUGGAUAAACAGCUGUCUAUAGAGAAAGAAAUUUCCAUUACAAGCAGAAUACCCUUUACUGAAGAAAUGGGGAUGUGGAAGUUUUAUUUUUCAAUGGAUAUGAAGAAAAUAUUUGCUUUAAGAGGUUCAGAAAGCAAAUACCUAUAUUUCUUCUAACUUUGAUAGAAGUAAAAUGUUCUAUUCAGAGAUAUAAUGUGUUAUAAAUCAAGGCAAUAGUCAAAGUUUCAGACUCAACGUACAUAACAAAGUAGAUAUUGUAUAAAGUAAAAACGUUCCUUUAUCUCCGUGUUAAGCGGAAUUCACAGUUUUUUUUAUCAGAUUUGUGUAAAUACUGUUGGGUAGCCUUUACUAUUAAUGAAGACUCGUGACUGUUUUCAUAGAGAGAUAUAAUAGUAAUGUUUCUAAUAAGUUUAGCUUUCUAUCAUAAGCUUUAAUAUUGUGUAUAAAAGACAUUUCAAAUUUCAGCUUUAAUAUUUCACCAAAAGUAGAAUUUCAAAUUAUAUUGUGGUAUAUAUAUAUAUAUAUAUAUAUUAUAAGCCUGUCAUUUUUCUUAGUCCAAAGCUGAACAACUGAUUAAAAGAAAUAUGGAUAUUAUAUAUUUUUGCGAAAUGCAGUGGUGAUACGCUUUCGAUAGUGGUAAAAGCUAAAUAAUGGCAAAAUUGUGAUUACUUAUGGCAGCUAAAACAUAAAAAGCGCAAUGCUAUUAAAUUUUCAUUACGUUGCUGAUUGUUCAUGAAUAUGUAAAAAGGUAUCCAAAGCAAUAAAUCCUCGUUAUGCAACGAAUAUCUGCACUCUCUUAAAAUUUUUCUUCUACGCUUACAUGAAUUCAUAUACUGACUAGGAUAUUUAUCUUGAUAAUCUAUAUAUAGAAAUUUAUUGUUAGAUUUUAUAAUCUUAUUCUUUAAAACAUAUAUUGUUCAUCAAAUUUUAAAAGUUAAUUUAAUAAAAAUAUUUUAAUCUUUUAGUUCAAACUUUUAUACUACCAUGGUAAACACUUAGUCUAAUGUAAUUUUUUUUUAAGAACAAAGCCAGGUACAGCUAAUAUUCUCAUCAGAAUAGAAGAUAAAGAGGAACAUUCUUUUUAUUUUAUUUACUUGAGAACAGAAGAGUUUUAUUGACUUUCAUUUUUGAACUUAAUAAGAUUUACAACUAUUAAUUGUUAUGAUUCCAGACUGGCUGAAAAUUUUCUUCAGUAUGUAGUUUCAAAAUAAGAUUUUUCUUCAAGAUAGAAGUCAUAAAACUGUACAUUUCUUUGAAAUAAAUGAGAACUAAGGACAACUUAAAUAAAAUGAUAGUUCAAAUUCUGUGCAGAGAAAAUUGAAAAAUACUAGAAAAAUUUAUGUUUAAAAAUCCUAUCUACUAAUAGAUUUCGUAGGGGGAUUUUUAAAACAUAUAUGUUCCCAAAUCCAAAUUAGAUGUGUAUAAAACACAUUCACAUCAUGAAUACUAAAAUAUCCUUAAAAUAGCAGGUGUAGAUAUUAUAUCCUAAAGAAAAUAUCAUAAAAUAUAUAAUGCUUUUAUGGAGAGGGAAAUUAUAAAUAAACGCUUAAGACCACUAUUACUGUAGCUCAAUAUGUUUGUUCUUAUAAAGAGUAUUAGCUUCAUAUGAGUUGCGUUUCUCUUUUUCUGGAUUACAUAUUUCAUCUGUUUUGCUUGAUAUUUCAUUUUAAAUGUAUUUUAUGUAUGUUUAGGGAAAUAUCUAUGUAAAACGUAUGUGAAAUAUUCAUGUUAAUAUAUUUUAAUGUUUUUUUAUAUGUUACAAGGUUUAUGUUUUUGUUAAAAUCAGCCCUAAAUUUGUUUGCGUAGUACAAAAUGUUAUUCUGAAAGUAUUUUCUAGUGUUAAUUGACUGAAAGAAGGAAAGGCAUUUAAUUUAAAGGCGUCACAGUAUGAAUUUCUGCAAAAAGAAGUGGAAAUUCCGUGUUCGUAAAAUGAUGUAUUAAACUAACUGAAGAGUAAGAUAACAUUUAUAUUGCAGGUAUCUUUCUUAUAAGAUCUGGAAAUCCAUACGAACAACUUAUGAAUCUUUAAAAACAAUAAAACUUCCAAAGUUAUCUGCGUCUUACUUUCAUUUUGCUAGCCUUCAAAAAUCUGAGAUCCAAAAUAAAACAUUGAACUCCAUGGAAGGAUAAGAAUGCUUAAUAUUAGGAUUCAUGACUUCAAAAAAGAUUGAAAAUACAACGAAAGAUACGACAUCUCUGAGAACAAAACUAAUUAUUCGCCUCUAGAAUUAAUGAGGUGAUGAAGAGAUAUUGUAAAAUAUAUUUGGUUCAUAUAAGUAAAAAAAUCCACCAAAUUAAACGCUAAGGAUAAAUACUAAUUUUUAAACAGUUCCAGUGUUCUAAGAUGCUGAGGAAUUUAUAUUUUAAAGCAAGAAACUUCCCUUAAAAAAUCAAAAGUUGGAUUUUAAUACAUUACUUCAACUGACAGAAUUAUUAGAGGUAGUACAUUUUAUUUAAAUAAAUUUGCUUUAAAAUGAAGGCAGCACAUUUUACAUAAAUUGUUUUAAUUGUAAACAUCCACUGUGGAAAUUGUUCUGCAUGCUUUUUUACCCUUCCUGCAUUUAAUUUGAAUAACUUUCUGUAUAAACACUAAUCGUGAUCGUGAGACUGCUUCGUUGAAAGACUGCAUCAAGUAAUGAAAACCGAACGAAAUAUAACAUGGUGUCAAAUAUUUUCUGACAUUUACAUUUAAAAGAGUAAUUUUUUAAAAGAAGAUUUCACAGAAUCAUUUCAUUUUCUAAUAACUGUAUAACGAGGGUUUAUUGUACUUACCUACGCAAGAAGAGUUAUUUGUUUUUGAGAAUGCUUAAUUUUAAAUAAAUAAUACGAUACGAAAUAUCACAGGUGUAUUUUUUCAGCAGCAAAACAUUUACCCCGAAGCUGCAAAAAUAUGCAGAAUCAAUUGUGUGCCAAAAAAAGCACGAAUUAGCACUAGAAUUUAAAUUUCUAAAAGUAUCGGGCACAUUUGUAAUAUGUAUGAAUUGUGAUAUUAAUUGAAAUGUGUGAUUAUUGUGUAGUUGUAUCACCAGUUUAAAAUUAUACAUUAGAUUUCAUCAUUCAUUUAAGAACUUCAUUUGAGAAAAAAUUUCAAAAAUAUUGAUUUAUAUGCAUUAUCAAAAUGAAUUAAGAUCACACAGUGUAUAUUAUUGUAGUACAUUUAAUGUAAUUUGUCCAAUCGAAACUUUUGGGUAAUUUGUUUCAAAAUUAAUGAUACAAUUUAUAAUUUUUAUAUGGUACUUAAAUUUGUUCAAAAUACAAUGCAGUUAUUCAUAAAAUUUGUAGUAUAACAAUAGAGGACAAAGGCAUGUUUGCAGACUUUGAAAGUAAACUGCUGACUGAGAUAUGGAUCAUGGAAAUCAUGGAAACUCAAUUAUGAUAUCAGUUAAAAGAUAGCAAGGCAGAGAAAGCCUAUUGGUUAUCGUUUAUGAGGUCAAUUUUUAUCAACUUAUAUUAAUUACAUAUUAAUUAAUGUAACCAUUUGGCCAAUAUUGCCAAACAAAUGUAAUGACAGGCUAUAUCUUGUCCCAGGCUGUUAUUGAUAUUGAUCUAUUUCCUAUAAUAUCUAAAGUCAGCAAUUUACUUUUGUGUUUUACAUGCGCGUAUUACUUAACAUUAUUUUGUUUUAUAAUUUUAUUGUGCAUAAUGAUUCCUUAAUUUGCUUGUUGUUAAUCUUUGUGAUUCGUGGUUGUUUUUAUAGUCAUAUAUGUUCCUUUAUAUUGUACUAUGUUCUCUUAUACAUUAUAUAUAACUAGUACUACAAUAGGAAAAUAAAUUUAUUGGUACCCAAAAUCUAUUAUGUAGUAUUAUUUGCUUUUUCCUGGAAAUAUGCUAUAAUG
rnacentral:lncRNA from 1 species